UUUCCUCCAUGUGAAGACUGCACAGUAAGGAGCCAUCUGUGAAGCAGAGAGCCCUCACCAGACACCAAAGCUACACCUGUAGAUCGGCAUCAUUUGAUCUUGAUCUUGGACUUCCCAGCUUUCAGAACUGUAUGGGGGAACUGAGCUCAGCGAGGUGCAGCUCCUUGCCAGGGGUGUGGUAGGCAGGACGGCUGGGCUGCACGUAUUCCACCCUCUGCAGCAGACCCCAACAGCCUGCUCCCGAAGCUGGUCUUCCUCCCAGAGCAACACCAGGUGGCAGGCAUAAAGAAAGAAAGAGAGACGAAGAAACUUGAGGUAAACUACUUCAUGAAGGAAAUCUCCACCCCAGAAAGAAACCAAUACCCUUCAUCCUCUCGGCAAGUUUCGGAGCAUCCACAUACCACCAGAAACUUGAAUCUGUCAUGUUUUCUAAUUUGGGACCUUAAAAAGGGAACAACCAUUAGCAAGUGUAUUCAUAUCAGUCAUAUUAUCAACCCAGAUCGCUUAUUUGAACAGCAGAAUUCUUGGUUUCUUGUCCCCACUGCCUGCCAGCAGGAGACACGUGGUUGUGUUCUGAUGGCACCAGCCCUACAUCCUGUACUCUCACACAUGGCCAUUUCCCAGCGGAGCCCCGGGCAGGAGCCUGAUCCACCCACUGAUGAUCAUCCCACGUUGGGCCAUUCGUCCAGGUUCCCCCUCCUGGCUGUCUGAGGUCAUCGUCCUCUCUGACAAUGACUCUUUCCCAUUUUGGGGUCUCAGGCCCCUUUAAGAAUCUGGGAAAAGGACAAAUGCUUCCUUGUAAUUUGCAUAGAUUCUGGCUAGCUUCUAGGCCCCCUUAAGACCACUGUUCCAGAAUAUGUGGGGACACUAGAGCCUGCUUCCUGUCUUGGCUGUACCCCACAGAGUCUAUUGGAAUUUGGCUUCCCUGAGGAUCAGAGUGUUCUUCCACCUGGCGGCCUGCAUGGAGCCAGCUUGUCAAAAAGUGGUCCCAUAUGCGCCACACUGCUUUGCUUAGAGCUUCAUGUUCUGGCAACGAACCCAAAGAGACUGAGCUGUCCCACAUUUCUGAAGAAAAGUGAAAAGACAAAGCAUGGGUAAUUUCCCAGUGUUCUACAACCAGAGGAGGGUAUGUGGCCCUGACCCAGGGGCCAGGGAGGUGGGAUGCUCUCAACCUAUGCCACAGCCAAACCAGAAGCUUGGCGGCAGGAACUAACGUGAGCCGGUCAUUCGUGCUGUGCUGUGAGCUAUGAUAACUGUCUAACUUAAUCCGUUCAGCAACCCUGUGUGGUGAGAAUAUUCUCCCCAUUUCACAGAUGAAGAAACAGGCACACUGAGGUCAAGGAAUUUGCCAAGAUCCCAGUACAGAAGAGCUAGGGCUUGAACCCAGGGAGUCUAACUCCAGAGCCAAACGGCUGACCUCUCCACUACCUCACCUCUGUUAUCAGUUGCCUCAUCUUUGUUAUUACAGACAGACUGGAGAGCAGGAGAAAACAGAAAUGUUCCCACAGUGCUCACCUCUGGCAUCCUCUCCAGUGAUGUCACACUCCCAACAGACUGGAAUUCAGAGAAGCAAAGUAACUGCCAAGCCACAUUGGUUCCCUGAUGCCCCCUGGUCUCUUCUUCCCAGAAGCAAAAGGCACCAGAGAGGGACAGGUGGGGAGCUCAGUACCAAAGGACUUGCUUCUCUACCAAAUCAGGGCAUCUGGGCUUUUCGGACUUGGGUCAGGGGACCUCAUCCCUGGGUUUCUCCACCCAGACCUGCUCCUAAGGAGUAUAAGUUGUCACAGCUGCAGGCUAAAGACUUUGCUACAUCCACACUAACUAAGACAAUAGCAACUAGAUCAAGACUCUAAACACAUAUCCUGGUGGCCUCCAAAAAGUCACCAGAACACUUUCAUCUGGGUUGUGUAAAUUGGGAUAUAGCUUCCUACCCAAGAACAAAAAAAAGAUGAUUUGAGCCUAAGCAUUGCUAUGUCCUGUCACCUGUCCCUCACAAAGGACCUAAUCACAAAUUCCUGCCCCAAACCCCUGCCAUGAAUACACUCCUUAAAGUACAAUCUAUGUACGGACAACCAAUAGUAUACUUCAUAGUCACAUUUUCACUAACAGCAUCAUGGUAUUGAAAACAGGAUGGUAUUCUUGACUAAAAUCACAUACUUUUAGACACCUGACAAUGCUAGAAGCAGCUUCCACAUCCAAAAUGCCAGAGGGCCUCUAUGGGAGAUAUUCCAGAUUGAUUUUAUAACCAUCCUGACUGGUGUUUGAGAGCAGCAUGGAAACAAAUCCCAUCUUUGUCACACGCUGGGGACUUAAUGUAAAACCCUAAAUGCUACUGAGAUACACAAUUUGACUCCUUCUCAUAUUAUCAUGCUUCGACACCCUUUUGAUGGACUGUUUGUUAUAAAGGACCAGGAAGAAUACUUCAGAAGAUUUGAAUGGAACUUAGGCAACAGCUUUCUUUGACAGAUUUGGAAAAAUGAGAUCCAGAGAAGUUAAUUACAUCACUUAGUUGAUCUAUUGAGAAAAUAUCUGUGAUUGGAGACAGAAACUUGGGCUGGAGUGCUAGUUCUGCCUCUUCCAAAUCCCUGUAAUCUUGAUGAAGUUAGUCAAAAGGCUCAGUUUUCUCACCUGUAAAAGCGGACCAUAAGCCCCUUCUCAGAACUGAUGCAAAGAUAGCAGUAGAUACUGGAGCUUGUGGAAAUGUUUUAUAAAAGGUAACAGGUUGGCUGGGCAC
rnacentral:lncRNA from 1 species